rnacentral:rRNA from 1 species
UGGGGAAUAUUGGACAAUGGGCGCAAGCCUGAUCCAGCAACGCCGCGUGGAGGAAGAAGGCCCUCGGGUCGUAAACUCCUGUCAGGUGGGACGAAAACGCGGGGCUCAACAGGCCCUGCGGUUGACGGUACCGCCAGAGGAAGCCCCGGCUAACUCCGUGCCAGCAGCCGCGGUAAUACGGAGGGGGCAAGCGUUAUUCGGAAUUAUUGGGCGUAAAGGGCGCGCAGGCGGCCUGGAAAGUCUCGGGUGAAAUCCCUCGGCUCAACCGAGGAAUUGCCCUGGAUACUGUCAGGCUCGAGGCCGGGAGGGGGUAGCGGAAUUCCCAGUGUAGCGGUGAAAUGCGUAGAUAUUGGGAGGAACACCAGUGGCGAAGGCGGCUACCUGGACCGGUUCUGACGCUGAGGCGCGAAAGCGUGGGGAGCAA